ACCCAGGCAACUAGAAGCAGUUGGUUCUUCUCACUCUCAUUUAAGGGUCUGAAUUUCAAAUUUAAGGGUUAGCAGCUAAGGGAGUAGAAUCUCUCUUAGGAGACUUCAGAAAAGAAAAUGAAUCAACAGUAUGAAGUUCUCAAAGCCAACUUCAAAGUAACUUCUGUUUGAAAACUUCUAGAGAUGCAUCCAUCCCAUCCAUUUCUUUGUUGGCUAGUCAUGUGCCAGAUGUUCAGCUGCAUGAAGAAUGAACCUUUUCGCCUGAAAAAGCCAGAUGAUCUUUCUUCCUUUUAUUUUGCUUUCCCAUGACCACUGUCUGUUUUUCCUUUCUCAUUCUGCUGGUUUUAUUGAUGCCUGGUAAUCUGCAUGAAUUUCCCUAUUUUGUUUCUAGCUUCACACACUGGAAACAUCCCUGCAUUGGACAGUUUAAAUCCUUCUGGAAAUAUAUAUUCUCAACAGUAUUGCCUCAAACUUUCAAUGGAAUAUACUAUAUGAAGAAAUAUGAGUGACUAUGAUUUAAAACCAUUUGUCUAAACAAAAUCAAAGUGAGUUUUCAAUUGAAGUUUCCAUAGAUUUUCUUGCAAAUACUAUUUAGCUCCUGUGUAACAAUUAGUUCACUCUAUGACAAAAUAUCUCUAGCCGACUGCUGAAAGCUACCUUGUAUUUAUACUUAAUGAACAUUUACAAUGAACAAGGCAAUCUACAGAGCCCCAGGAUGAGCUCAUUCUCAGUAUGAGGUGUGGUCAACAUGAUGGGGCAAUGUGCAGAAUAUUCUAAGUUAAAGAGACCAUUUCAUUGUUCCUUGAAAUUCAGAGUUUCUAGUCAAUAUAUCCUAGUGUGUUGAAAAACUACCAUGUUUCUAAGCAGCACUGUGAGCAUCCCAAAAGAAGUACAACUUUGCCUGGACCUGCCGAGAUGUCUACAUUCCACAUACAUCCUUAAAGUGAAUGGGAUUUGCCAUUUUACCUAGAUUCAUCAGUCAAAGACAUAUCACUACAGUAAUAAUAAUCCAAAUCAAGCAAGGUGCUUGCUGGACCUUACUGUCACUUAGUGAUUUAUGAUACAGCACAUGAAAGCUUAAAGGUAAACCUUAUUGUGAAUCUCAAUGAUUUAGUGUAUAAUACAGAACUCUUAGUGUGUAAUUCUGUUGUAAAUUUGCAUUGAUUUACUGUGCAAUAUAUAGAAACUAAUGGUGUAG